AAGAUCAUUCUUUCCACGAUUGAACUACAAGAAGUUGGAAAUACAUUUUCUGAUUUGAGAAUGUGUAGCGAUGUUAUGUAAUUAACACAGCAUAUUGUGUCUUAAUUAAAAUGGAGAGAUCAAUGGAGUCAAAUUGACAUUCCAGAGAUAACCUUCCCAUUUUUGACCAAUUGAUUCUAUAUCACGUUGUAAUGAUCUGGCUGUGAGGACAAGACAAGUCUUUGCAUGAAAUGGUCUUGUGGAAGCAAUAUAUGCAAAUAAUAAAGCAUCAAAAGGGACUAUGCCUUCAAUUUGUAGAAAUAUUCACUGAAGUUUGAUGAAAUUCUCAAUGCCCAAAAUAGACUACAGAACACUUUCAAGAAAACAUGCUAUAACCCAGAGAUUAAUUGAUGACAUCCACCGAAGUUAUGAGUGCAAGAAAAGAGAAAUAUUCAUGGAAUUUUAUAUCCAAGAGUUUCUUGUAUAUGACAGCAUAUUUUGAAAAGUCAAAAUCAGAAAAACUUGACAAAUAGGAAGAUAACUAAGCUAAAACCUUUUGUUCAUUAAAGGAGCGAUGAGAGGCAGUUCCAAGAUGGCCGAAUAGGAACAGAUCCAGCCUCCAGCUCCCAGCGUGAGUGACACAGGAGACGGCUGAUUUCUGCAUUUCCAACUGAGGCACCAAUUUGAUCUUCUACUACUUUGCAGACAUCUCUUCUGCAAACACCAGACAAAUUGAGACUGUGACCUUCAGCAGCACCCAAACCACCUCUUACUGCAGGAAAGAAGAUCCAGUGAGAUAGUCCACAAAUGGAAUGUAAAUCGAUAAACACUCUUAAGUAACAGAAUAAAUUGAGUAUGAGCAUUUCUAUGUGGGAGCUUUUGAAAUGGUUGCUGCUCAUAUGUCAGAGACACAUGCAGAUUAAGAAAGGUAGUAGUUCCGAUCCUGGUUUGGCACAACAGUCACGGUAUUUUUGGUGGGGGAAAAGGGAUGUGGGAGGGGAUGGUACAUCUUCAUCUUUUCCUCUGGGUUUUCUCUCAGAAAUGGCUGUUGCUUACUGCAGGGCAAAAAUGCCAGUGUCUUCUGCCAGAGAGGGUUACUGAGGGCCAUAGUGGUUCCACCUUGUGGCUGAUACUGAUACUCCCUUUCAGCUUUUUUCGUUCCUAGCCAAAAAAGAUGUUUCUGCUGUCUCAGGUAUGCUGAUUUCAGGAGUUGUUUUUUCUAUAUGGCUAUUCGUUUUUGUUUUUUUGUUUUUUUUUUUCUUUCACUCUCUCUCUCUCUCUCUUUUUUUUUUUUUUUUGGCUUCACUGUGUUGCUGUAGUUUCUUAAGUGGUCCCUUGAACCCUCCCAGCGCUAUUUUGGUUUGUACAUAGCUAUCUAUAAAUUUUUUCUUGGGGGAAGUGUAGAGUUAAAGGCUGGUAUAUCCUGCUCUUGCUCCCCCGAGUGAUUUUAUUCCCCCAAGCUAAUAUUUCAGACUUUCAAUUUAUUCGUGCUUUCAUCUGUUCAAACAAGUGGAAAUUACUUUUUCUCUCCACAUUUAUAUUUGCUCUAUCUACUUUAAUUGCUAAUAGUGUCUUAGUCAUAGGAUAGAUUAGUUAGAAAAAAGUAUAUUUUUGACAUUAUAAAUGAUCCUUUCAAUUUGUGUCUAAAACUGGAAAAUAUUAGAAAGCUUGACAUUUAUUAUUGUGUCCAGACCAGUAUUUCCUCCAGAUGACCUUUAUUACAACAAAGAUAAUUUAAUGAAGAUCUCUCUAAUGGUAAAGCUGGUGGCUUUGUGCUAUUAGAAUAUCCUUAAAGUGACAGUCUGGUGGAAAGACCAACUAAAGCAAGGGUUAAGAGAAAAACAGUUAUUACUUUCAUUUUGGUCUCACUCUGCAUUAAGAGUUUUCAUUGUGUCAAAGAUUUAUUAUUCAUUAAGUAGCCUAAUGUUCAUUUAAUAAUAAAUGGAUCCUAUUAAAUAUGAUUUUUUAAAUUAUAAUCACAUUACUUUUAUUCACAUCUGUCUACUGAUGCCAUUCACAGAUGAGAAUGGUAUAACGUUAUUUUACUUUUUUCAUUUUGCCACAUCUUUAUUUACUUAGGUUUAUGCUGUAUCGAACAAUAUAUGUGUGGGAGUAAUGGGUGAUUCAGGACUGCAUGAGGGGGAGGUUUAAGCUCUUUAACUUUGAACAAUUAAAAUUAGCAACAUAAUAUUGAAAUACAUGCAUAACACUCAAGUGGUACUUUCAAAAUAGUGUAUAUUUCCUCUGUUUAUUUGUAGCUUUUAAACCCAGCUAGAAGUAUUCUAUUUCUUUUAGGCAGCAUAAGUCUGAAAGUCUGUAGUGAAAGCUACAAGUAGUAAAUGAUGCUAAUUCAUGUGCUCCCACCUGUGGAAGAAUUGAAUGUCUUAGAUAAAAAACGAUGGUGCAAUUGGUGUACCAAGUAUCUUAGAAUAUAAUUUGGUGGUGGUUUUUCUGUUUCUGUAGCAGAGUAACAUAUAUAGUAUAUCCAAGUCAUCAAGUUAUUUAAAUAUGGCUUUAAACAGGGAGAACUGAAAAUAAUACUGUGAAUCCUGGUAA